rnacentral:rRNA from 1 species
GACGAACGCUGGCGGCGUGCUUAACACAUGCCAGUCGAACGGAAAGGCCCCCUUGUGGGGUACUCGAGUGGCGAACGGGUGAGUAACACGUGAGUAACCUACCCUUGACUUUGGGAUAACUUCAGGAAACUGGGGCUAAUACCGGAUAGGAGCUCCUGCUGCAUGGUGGGGGUUGGAAAGUUUCGGCGGUUGGGGAUGGACUCGCGGCUUAUCAGCUUGUUGGUGGGGUAGUGGCUCACCAAGGCUUUGACGGGUAGCCGGCCUGAGAGGGUGACCGGCCACAUUGGGACUGAGAUACGGCCCAGACUCCUACGGGAGGCAGCAGUGGGGAAUAUUGCACAAUGGGCGGAAGCCUGAUGCAGCAACGCCGCGUGCGGGAUGACGGCCUUCGGGUUGUAAACCGCUUUCACCUGUGACGAAGCGUGAGUGACGGUAAUGGGUAAAGAAGCACCGGCUAACUACGUG